GUUUCGGGGAGGAGAGCGUUCUUGUCACCGGGAGUCUUUGCGUGUCACUGGCUAAACCGGUUAGUUUUUGGACAAGGUCCCUGAAGGUGUUUAUGUCUGCCUGAACAAAGGUCGUGGGUGAUGUUAGAGGUGAAGAAGAAGAAGAAGAGGAAGUAUGAGUGUUCAUGAUGUGAUUAUGCCUUUCAAUUUUCAUUGGCAAAGGGGCAGAGGGGCUAAUUGGAUCGCUAGAAAUAUUAUAGAGGGAGAGAGAGGCCUAGAGGAUACUAAAUGGGAUGAGGUGAUUUUCAUGGUAAUUGCUUUGUUUAUAAGGGGAGAUCAGGUCUGACUAGGGGAGUCAAAUACAAGUUUUGGUAAGCUUGAGAGAGAAGAGAGAAGUUUUUGAGAGGUAAAGGAAAGGUUAGUGGGUUGUGUGAAUUGUUGAUUAAGGAACCAAUGACUAUAUUUAGAGAGUUAGUUUUUCGGGGGAUAGAACUGUAGAGGUUGUUAUCUUAUUUAUUAAUUUUGUUCUAGUUUGAGCAUAGAUUUUGUACAUUUGUAUGGACUGAUUUUUCCAUUUUAAGGAUUAUAUAGUUGAUUUUUUUUGAAAUAUUUUUCUUUUUAUGCUAUGGUAUGAGCAAGAAAUGCAAUCGAAUCGAAAGGAAAAGUUAGUGGGUUGUGUGAAUUAUUGUAGAUUAAGGAGCCAAUGACUAUAUUUAGAGAAUUCUUUUGGGGGUGCACAGGUUGUUAUCUUAUUUAUUAAUUUUGUUCUAGUUUGAGCAUGGAUUUUGUAAACUUAUAUGGAUCUAAUGUUUCUAUUUUGAGGAUUAUAUUUGAUUUUUAAAAAUAUAUUUUUCCUUUUAUGGUAUUAUAUGAGCAAAAAAUGCAAUCAUAUUUAGUUUGGUAUUGUUGUAAAUCAGAAAACUUGUUAAUAUGAUAUUUUGGUAAUAUAUAUAAGAUAAUGAAUAAAAAAAAAUUCGCUGAUUAGAGCACAAUCACCACCAACUAAUUAAAAAGGUCAAGUUUUAAGGGUUUUUUUUUUUUUAAAAAAAAGGGUUUGUAAUUUUUUACUACAUAAACACAACACUCAUAAAAUUUAUCAACUUUAAUUUGAUAUUUGCAUAGCCAAUCAAAACUAAUUUCACCUCUUGUGUUGAGUAGUUAUAGACAUGUUAGGACUAGUGGAUUUGUAAUAAUCUCACUUCCUAUUCGUAGUAGCUAAGAAGGAAAGAAUGUCUUAACUAUUAACCUAAUCUAUCAUUAGAUUAAUUGGUAAACUAGAUGAUACAAGAGUAGAUCGCUCAAACCUUUUUACAUUAAAUAAGAAAUAUAACAAGUUAUUUUUAAGAAUUUUAUUAUUUAUUUUAAGUUUAAUUGUUUUAUAUUUUAAUGGUAAAAACAUGUAUUUAUAGUCAGUUUUUCAAGAUGAAACUAAUUUUCUUCUAAAUCAUGUCAUAAACAAACUAUCCAUAUUCAGAAAAUUUACUUGUCAUUAUUAUUUUCUAGGGAAUGAUAUGGGGGUGGAUUAGAAAAAUUAAAAUAUAUGAAAAAAAUAGCUAAACUUUAUCAAUUUUUUACGUGAUUUGAUAUUAAUUUUACUUAUUAAUUUUGAAUUUUGGAUAUAUUAUAUUUAACAAAGAUAACCAAAAAUAUAAAAAGAUAUUUUUUAUGUUCAAAUCCACAAUUUAUAUCAAAUCAAAUAUUUUAGAAUUUAAAAUGUCCACGUAAACCUUUAGUUUUCAUUUGAAAAAUUGAGCUUUUUACUCAAAACAAAAUGAAAAUUUGCACACAUCUUACUCAAUUCUAAAACCCAAGCUCCAAUUCAAUUGAAAAUUUCAGUAUCCGCCAUCAGAUAACCCAUGUCCAGAUUCCUGUAAAAAUCUGAUUUUUCUCGGGGUCCAAACAAGAAGUGACCUAGCUAGAAUUAUAAGAAAAUUUAUAAUGCUCAAACUGUAACCAGUAAUUUCUUAUAAAUUCUAGUUAUUACUUAAGUCAUUAAUUAAUUAAUAUGUCAUGCCAUCAUCCCAUAUCAGCAAAUUUAAAAAAUUAUUAAGUAUAUUGAAAAAUUAAAUGGAAGCAAUCGCUUUUCUUUUCUAAAUAGCCAAAUAUAUUAAUAUAAUUAUUAUGAGUUGUAUUUUGAAGUCAUUUAUAACUUCACUGGGGCACGUUACUUUGUUUAUUUAAUAGUUAAUGCAUUAACAACAUGAAAAAGAUUUGAAGAAACUUUUUGAGUUGUGGAAAUAAUAGAGUACUAAAAAAGACUUUGAGUUUGAUUAUAAGGUUUUUUUUUCAAUGACUUUAAAGUGAUUAAUUUUUUCAUAUUAAUUUUAUUUUAGUUUAUGUAACUGAAUUAUGUAAGCAUAAAUAUUAUUUUCUAAAAUAAAAUUAAUCAUCAUGAUAACUUGAUUAUCACUAUAGAAAGAGAAAUAAAAGGUAAAAGGUAUCAUCUCUACUUAUAUUGCUAGCCUUUUACUUUUCUAAAUGAAACUAUUUUGAUAUACCUUCUUUAUAAGGAGACUAUAUCUCUAUGCAACAUGUUAGAAUAAUUAUAUUUUAGGUUUUGAAACUUGCAUAAAAAAAAUUAAAACAAAUAUCAUUUGCUACAAGUAUCAAUGUUAAUCCUUACAAAAAAAAUAAAAAAAAUAAUUCGGCUUUCCAAAAAGGUGAUUGUUUCCAUUUAAUUUUUUGCAUUAUAAUUGUUUUAAAUAAAAAUUUGGACAUAGUUUAUGAUUUUUUGGAUUUGUAGACAUAAUUGAUGAUUUCUUGAAUUUGUUACCAUGGAUUGAUGGCAUAGUUUAUUAGUUAAAAUAACUCAAGCAUAACUUAUAGAAAAGUGCUAGUUACAUAAAGAAUACUAUAAAUAAUUUUUAAAAUUAUCCCUAGUUAAUUUUUUUAAAAUCUGACCAGAUUUUACGGGUUAAACAGUAAAAUAAAAAUAAAAUUGUGCUGAUUUGAAUUUACCCGAUUAAUCCACAUAAUUUCUAAUCCAAGAUUUGUAUCGGAUCAUCUUCCGACCGAGUUUAAAAGCUAUGAAUCAUAAGCUUGAGAGAAAAAAGGAAGAUAAAAGGAAUCCGUUUGGUUUCCGCCACCUGAUAAAGAAAGAGAAACCCAAAAAAUCAUAUUCGUUUCUCUCUGGAGAAUUAAAUGAUGAAUUCUGUGUGUUCUUGUGAUGGGCCCGUUAUUGCAGCAAGUAAAUCCAUGGAUAAUAACAUGUGCUGCUCAAGAAGAGGAGUUGUAGUUGUACCUCGUGGGGAAAGCAGCAGUAGUUCAAGGAACGUUUGUGGAGUUGCUAGAGCUUCAAUGGUGGAUUCUUAUGAGAGUUCUUCUGAUCUUGUUAAGAGAAUGGAACGAGCGUGGUUAAUCUCUCAGAUAAAGUUCAAGUCUUUCUCAUUUUUCUGAACUGGGUCUCAUUUUUUUGAAUUGGGUUUUCCUUUAUAAUUAUAGAUUGGGAUUUGGGUUGGUGAAAAUUGAGUGAGAAAGGGAGAAGGUUGAGAACUUUGUGUCUUUGAGAUUAUAAUAUCUUCAAUGGGGUUUUGAUUAAUUAACAGAUUCGUCCCAUUGAAAUUCCACAGGCAUCAUCAUCAUCUCUGAACAUUUGCAAGAUAGGGAAGAAGAUUGGAAAAAGAAACCUAAAACAUGGCAAAUUUUUCUCUAUGCUUGAUAAUAUUUAACCUGAAAUUCCAAGCUUUAGACAUUCUUUAAAACCCAGAACAAGAACUGCAAGAUACAGCAGAUACGUUCAGUGCUUCCUUAAACAUUCUUUCAACACCUAAUCUUGAUUACUUUGGCUCGGUGAACUCAAUGGAAACAGAGUCAGUAGCUCCGGUGGCUCGCUCCCUCUUGGUGUGUUCAAAGGUGAAGGAUGAAAGUAAAAACCCUUUUCAGCUAUAGCCUUCUCCUCCUCUAAAACUGCUGGCGACGAUGGUGACUCGGUUCCUGGGCUCGGGAAGAACAAGAAUCCUGAACAAAGUGGAGUCACUGGUGAGUCCAGUCGGUGUGUUUGGCGGGUUGGUGAUGAUGAUGAGUUACUAAGAGAGGUCAAGCCAAGUUUGAUCUCAAGCUUUCUUAAGGUAUGUCUUCGCUCUUGGAGCUUGAAAGGUGACCGGCGAGGACCAGUUAAGUCAACGGGAUUACGUGAUGGUUUCGAUGAGGAGAGUGCUCUUGUCACCGGGAGUCUUUGUGCGUCACUGGCUAAACCGGUUAGUUUUUGGACAAGGUCCCUGAAGGUGUUUAUGUCCGCCUGAACAAAGGUCGUGGGUGAUGUUAGAGGUGAAGAAGAAGAAGAAGAGGAAGUAUUAGUGUUCAUGAUGUGAUUAUGCCUUUCAAUUUUCGUUGGCAAAGGAGCAGAGGGACUA
rnacentral:lncRNA from 1 species